AGCUACUAUCUGGCUCUUGUGCCUGAGAGGGGCACAGCCAUGGUGUGGUGAGGUUGGGGAGCCAUGGCAUCACCGGUCCUAAACCAUCCUUGAGCAGCCACCGGUUGGCUCUGCAGCUCGGUCCAUGUUCUGGGUGCAUCUAGAAGCUGCAAAUAUUGCUCAGAUCAGUAAUAGGUGGCCCAGGUGUUGAGUCCCCACUGCACAAGCCUCCAUCCUUUCAUUUCCCACGUGUCUCCUGGACAAGCUGCCAGGCUUGCCUAACCUAGCCAUGCCAGUUUCCAGCCCACUGUGUUUUGAGUGUGGGGCUUUGCCUUUGCCCAGUCAGUUCAUUGUCCUCCGUGACCCUGUGUAAGCCCCUCAGGUUUGCACGUGGCAGACAAGGUGCAAGAUGAAAUAUGUAUGGCACCUCUGGAAGUAGCUGCUUUGACUUGCAGUCCAAGGUUAUUGCUCCCUUUGCUGCACAGAUGCCUUAAGUGAAUUGUGUUGUGUGUUGCGUGUGUGGGUUGUGCAUUUUUUGCUGAGUUGCUAUGGGUUUUUGCAGCUAGGCAUAGAACAAAAGUGUUUGUACGAAAGGUGAAAUAAUGGCAAGGAAGCUGUGAUGUGCCCCCCUCCGUAGAGGUCAGCUAGGGAGAGCUUUGAGCUGCCUGAUUUUAAUCAUGGGCAGCAGGGAAAGGGCUGGAUGAUCUGCGAAUCUUCCAUCCCCAAAUGCUGUGAUCUUCUGUAGGAACAAUCUCCUUCCUCUAGCAGGUAUAGCACACCCCUCCGUAUUCAAAAGCCAAGCCUUGUCAAGUUGAAAUGACACAGACUUGAAUGAGAUUGCGUGUUUGUAGCUGGGGCUGAAAGGCUGGGCUUCAGGGGGUCUCUGCAGGGGCUGAGGUACAGCACGGAAACCAAACCCUCAAAGGCAGUUUGGAUCAGAGUUGCCUGGAAAUUGAAUUCUUUUUCUGGGUUUUGAGGCCUUUCCUCCGGGCUAGGCAGGGGGGAGAUUUUGGAGCAUUUAUAAAUGCUCUGGAAAAAGAUCCUUUCAUACCUCCCCCAGUCACAGGGACUCGGCCUCUUUCCUCGCCCAUCAAGUAUAAUGAUUCACAGCCCAAGCUGAGCCAGCCUUCGCCCACCUUAACGAGGGGGGUCUCCUCAGCCCUUGGCAUAGAGAUGGUGAACAGGGGAAAUUGUGCGGCUCCGCUUUGUCCUUCUGCUGACACUGCCUAGAUCUGGACCAGGCCUGUCAUGCUGAUACAGAUGCCCUGGACUAGUCCUGCUCAUAUAGUCCCAGCUCUUUCUCAGGUGCUUGCCUUGCACCGGACAUGAAAAUAGAUGCAUUUCUGGAGGACAGCUCCAUCAGGGGCUGUUAAUUAAACACAGCAGUCAGGGAUGUGGUUGUGAUGGGGAGGGAUCACUCAGCAAAAGCGUGUUUCUUAUACUCUCCUCUAAAGCAUUUGCUACUUGAUAUUGUCGAAGUACUGAGCUGGCUGGACCUUGGGUAUAACCCAGUCCGGCAGUGCCUGUGUAGCCUUAUGCCCCCCACCUCCUCCCCAAUACACACAUGCGCACGCACACAAGAAAAAAUCUAUCCCAAUUAUCACACGCGUAGGGUGGGGGACUCCUCUCCUUCCCUGAGCAGGAAACCACAUCCUCCUCCCACACUGGGAGCAGAGGCAAGAGGCCCUGGCUGCUUUGGGAAGGAUUCUUCAUGUGACCUUUCCCAAUUUUUCCAUCGGGAAAGGCUUUUGCCCGAGCUCUGCCUAGUGCAUUUGUCUCCUCUCUUCCAUGGCUAGAGCAUGAAGGGUCCUUCCUGCGUUCUUGGAAGGGAAACUCGGCUUUAUAAAUAAACGGAGGUGCUGGCAUGUACAGUGUAAUGUGAACUGAAGGCUAAUUCAGAGCCCUGGAAGGCUUAGGAGCAUACCAAGGAGCUCAGUAACAUGGAGAAAGGGUGAUUUACUGCUCAGCCCGUGGGGAGAGGAUGGGUGCUCCCCAGCUGGCUCAAGGCCUCAGCAAAGGACCAGAGUCAGCGCUUUACAGCAAGCAACUGAGCCACUGGACCCGGGAGGUGAAGGCCUUGCAGAAGGGCCACCCAAAGGGCACCUAAACAGCAAGUUUCCAGCACUUAAGUGGCCUUUUCAGCACAGGUUACAAAUCUGUAAACCUGCAGUGAGGUUGUACAAGUGUGGAUGUGAGGACUGAGCAUAACUCGAGAUGGGGGCUAUCUUAUGUCUUAACUCCAAGACAUAGAAUAGCCUCCUAUGGGUUAGGGUAUCUGCUUAGGAAACGGGGCAGCUGAGUUGUAGGGUCCUCUCACCCAGAGGGGGCUUGUCACUGGGCUCGACCCUGUCUUUACAGCGCUGGGCUCUAACCACUAUGCUGCAGAUUAAGCAUCGUUUUGUCACUGCUCUUUUUAGUGAAACUUAGCCCCUUGCAAUUACUGGUCCUUGGAUAAAAGGGAUCUGCUCCCUUCAAAGCCAGGCUAUGGGUGGGGCUUGCUUCUUUCCAGAGUAGUGCUGGUCUCACUGAGCCAUACCCCUUACUAUGGGCUUGUUCUCUCUCUCCCCUGCCAACCCUGUUCUGGGUGAUCCCCAGUGCCAGCAGGGAGAUCUGCACUGGAGAUGCAGUUCCUGGGAGGCUACCCAUCAGCUGGGCAUGCUUGUGGAGAGGUUUGAAUUAGGAAGCUGUACUUGCUUGUGCCAGCAUGGUGCUCAAGUAGCGUCUGCAGAUCUUUAAGUCCAUCCUUCUCGUACCAGCUGGGCCCCUGGCUUGCCUGUUGUGAUCAGCAAUGGAGGAGUUAAGGACCGACUCUCACAUACCUGCUCAUCACAACUUUGUGAGGCUUGUGUUAAUGCCUCCUGCUCUGGGCUGUUUUCAGGCUCUCUUACACAUGUCGAGUUCACGUGCAGCUUUCAGCAUGGGGCCAGAGCCCAUUCAUUUUUUAAUAGAAAACUGAGCUUCUAGCGCGUGGGCUGGCAGCCUUUGGAAAGUUACCGGCUUGCCAAGCUGGCAAGCACAAACGGCUUCACUUUUCAAACAAUGCUGAGAAUUAAUUUCUCCUUGCCCGAUUCCCCACCCUGAUUUCUUCUCCCAUAGACCAGAGGAAGGAAUGUGGUGGCGUUUGCAUUAAGUAGGCAGCGUGUGGGCUGCUGAAUAAGUCAGGGUCUGUGCCCACCCUGGGUCCCUUCAGGGAAAGUGCGUCAGUCAGGAAGUGAUACAGCGGCUCCUUCGGUACGUGCUCUGUGAGCCAGAGAAAGAGGAGGUUGACCGUGGUGAAUCAGGCUGCAAACCUUCAGGGAGGACUGGAAGCAGAAUGCAUCUGGUUUGCCGCGUGCAUCUCCUUCCCUGCGCUGUGAAGCACAGGGGCUGUAGGUCAGCUCUCUGAAUAGUCUCAGCAUGGUCCGUAGAUGUGUCAGUUCCUCACCCGCGGGAGAGGCGGGCUGGCUUGCUAGUUGUGCGCAUCUCAGUCAAUACAUUGAUUUCUUCUUCUUUCUCUGUACUCAAAUGCACCUUCUCCACAGCGACAGCGCUCGCAGCGGGCUCCCUGCCUGUGGGAGGAAGUGCCUCAGCCUGCAUGCGCUGGGGAUUUUAAUCGCAGCUCCAACCAGGUGCAUGGCACGCCAACAACAGGGGCAGCUGUGUGCAAUAGAAGUGUCUUUUUCUUGCACGUCUCAUCAUCUGUCUUUUGAUCGAACGGCCUGACUGGGUGCCGCUGCAUUAGCCAGACAGCCCGAGUGCCCGGGGGGAGAGGAGGGAACCAGAGAGAGGUCUUUGAUUGCUUUUCUGUAGGCUCCCGGGUCCAGACAUGGCUGCUCUUUCAGCUGUCUAAGCAAGCUGUGAGAAGGCACCUGGAUGGUGAACAAGGCCUAGAGAGCGUGGCCUCUUAGAGGAAACAGGCCAGCCGCUCAUAGUAAAUAGGGUGUAAUUGGUUCUCGCCAGGCAUCUCCUUAGAAACAGCAGAGGAGUGUGCAUGCAUCCAUCCUAUUGCCCUUUGAGUGCCUCUGGCUCAUUAACCCUUCUGCUUCCUAUUAGGUGCUUUAACGAACCACCAGAACAGUGAUUUCAGCUGGCCCCCCUUGAGAGGCCUGUGGAGGCAGGACUACAUGGUGUCCACCAGCAUCUGGAGCAGCCCAGCUCCCUUCACACAAGCGUUGUCUCUCCUGGUCCCUGCUGGCACCUCUGUGGCAGAAAAGCUGGAGAUCCUCUCCACAAAAGGCAUCUCCUCUACACAUCCCUGCUGCUUGGUGUCUUCUGAAUUUGACUAGCAAACUCCACUCAAGCCUUCCGAAAUGAAAAGACUGAACAAGAGGAUCAGACAACCACUUCCAUGAAAAGGAUAUGGGGGCUGCAGCUUUUCAGCAUCGCUUCCUGGAAGGGGAAUCUUGAAUAAUACAGGGACAGCAAGAGCCAAGGGCAGGGACUGAAUGCAUCUGACACAGACCGUGUUUCACCUUUUGAAUGUCCAUGUUAAUACUACAUUUGCAUGUAUUGUCACCUUAAAAUAAAAACCAUCCUAUGAGAGAAUAACCCAAAUCAAAGGGUGACAGAG